GACGAACGCUGGCGGCGUGCUUAACACAUGCAAGUCGAACGGAAAGGCCCUGCUUUGGUGGGGUGCUCGAGUGGCGAACGGGUGAGUAACACGUGAGUAACCUGCCCUCGACUUUGGGAUAACUUCAGGAAACUGGGGCUAAUACCGGAUAGGAGCUCCUGCUGCAUGGUGGGGGUUGGAAAGUUUCGGCGGUUGGGGAUGGACUCGCGGCUUAUCAGCUUGUUGGUGGGGUAGUGGCUUACCAAGGCUUUGACGGGUAGCCGGCCUGAGAGGGUGACCGGCCACAUUGGGAUUGAGAUACGGCCCGGACUCCUACGGGAGGCAGGAGUGGGGAAUAUUGCACAAGGGGCGGAAGCCUGAUGCAGCAACGCCGCGUGCGGGAUGACGGCCUUCGGGUUGUAAUCCGCUUUCGCCUGUGACGAAGCGUGAGUGACGGUAAUGGGUAAAGAAGCACCGGCUAACUACGUG
rnacentral:rRNA from 1 species